rnacentral:rRNA from 1 species
CCUACGGGGGGCAGCAGUGAGGAAUAUUGGUCAAUGGACGAGAGUCUGAACCAGCCAAGUAGCGUGAAGGAUGACUGCCCUAUGGGUUGUAAACUUCUUUUAUAUGGGAAUAAAACGUUCCACGUGUGGGAUUUUGUAUGUACCAUAUGAAUAAGGAUCGGCUAACUCCGUGCCAGCAGCCGCGGUAAUACGGAGGAUCCGAGCGUUAUCCGGAUUUAUUGGGUUUAAAGGGAGCGUAGGUGGAUUGUUAAGUCAGUUGUGAAAGUUUGCGGCUCAACCGUAACAUUGCAGUUGAAACUGGCAGUCUUGAGUACAGUAGAGGUGGGCGGAAUUCGUGGUGUAGCGGUGAAAUGCUUAGAUAUCACGAAGAACUCCGAUUGCGAAGGCAGUUCACUGGACUGCAACUGACACUGAGGCUCGAAAGUGUGGGUAUCAAACAGGAUUAGAUACCCCUGUAGUC